rnacentral:lncRNA from 1 species
AUUCGACCACUAGCCUGGGAACCUCCAUAUGCCAUGAGUGCAGCCCUGAAAAAAACCAAAAAACAAAACCCACAGUUCCAGGACUUCAAAUUUUUGUUUUUUAAUUUUUUAAUUUUUUUGAAUCUUGGGAGAGGACUUUAGGAUGAUGUACCACAUAUCAAUACAUAUAAUAUUUUACAAUAAUCAGCCUUUUGUCACCAGAAGCUCAUUUCCUUUUUUUAUUUAGCAUAGGACAUAUCCUAGGGACUUACUAAAGGGCAUGCUACAAUAUUAAGAAUUCUAUAAUUAAUGUUGGCCAGGAUUUGAAUUUAAAUCCUUUACUUUUCAGGGUCUAAUUAAACUGAGACAUUAUUGUGAGUGGAAUGAGACAUUUUCCUGACCAACCGUAUAUUAAUGGUUUAAUGUGUAAGGAUUUUAUGUUAAAAGUUUAAAACAUAUUUGGAAUAAUACGUUUUCCUUUGAAGUCAGGAAGAGUGAAAAGUUAUCUUGCUUUAACAUAAAAGGAAAUCACCUUUGAAAAAAGUGGCCUUAUUAGGACAAAUACUAUUUUAUUUCUUUACAAUUCUCAGUUGCUCUAAAACACACCACAAAAUUGUAAAUAUAAUUAUAGACACCAUGCCAACAUAACUGCUGUAGUUUAGUACGUUUGGGUUCUAAAUUACUAAUUUAUUUUUAGAUCAUAUUUUUAACUGUGAAAUUGAAUGGUUUGGGGAAUAAUGUUAAUGUUUGCAGGUGGUUUAACUGCAAAACUGUUGAUAAAACACAAUUGUGUACUCAAAUGCUUAAUUUCAGGUUUUACUUGGGCUGUAAAAGGUAGUUUAAUACGCACCCUAGAAAGUAAGCUAUAAGAAAAUAGUAAUCUAUUUUUGUUUACAAUAUGAUGUAGAAAAGGAAAUACUGUUCAAUUUAUGGCAGUCAUUCCUCCCCCAAGAAUUAUAAAUUAUAUGCAUUAAUAGCAUUAGCAUCUUAGAUGUCCAUAGCAACCUUUUCUCUAAUAAUUCAAGUACUUUUUUACAUCUGUUAUUUCAUUGUAUCUUAACAUCACUAUAUGUGCUUCAUUAUAUUUAAAACUCACAAAUCAAUGUUAAUUGAAAAUAGUAUUGUAAAAUUUAAAGUUAAAAGAGAAAUGCAUAAUUUGAAAUCUAUAAACUCUAAAAAUUAUAAAAACACAAACCUCCAAAUAUUCUCUGUUCCAUAAAAGAAUAUUCUUCAAAUUUCAUGAAGAUGAAAAUAUUAGUCGGAUUAUUUAAAAUCCAACUAAAAUUGAAUAAAAUCAUCAGGCAUAAAUAAAACAGCCAGAAAUGCUGUAAAAUAAGCCUUGAGUUUUUUUUUUUUUAAAUAAAAGUGUGUUUUCAUGCUCAUACAAGCUUAUAAUCUUCUUCUGCCCCACUUCUCUGAUCUUAGGAAGAAAGGAUCAAGUUCUUUUGCUUUUUUCUCUGUUGUCGAAAUAGGAAUCAUAGAUCUUAGGAGAAGGGGACAAGGAAGCAAAACAAAAGGCAAAGCUAAGGGUGAAGUGGACUGAAAAGAAGCCUGCAUACAUUUUCCUGAAUUUGACUGUUCUCUGGAGUUGGCUUAUUAACAUCUUGUGUAGUAGUAGUAAUAGUAAUAGCAUAAUUGUCACCCAUGCAGAUAUUUUCCUUGAAAAUACAGAAAUAGCCUAUUAAUUUUAGGAAAGGUAUAACUUCCACAAAGCCCCCAGAUUAAGGCCCGGGGCACUGAAAAGAAUGUCUGAGCACUCAGAAAUAUAUUUAGUUUAAGAUUGAACUUGGACCAUUUACCUUUGAUUGCCACCACCAGCGAAUCCUGAAGUUGGAUCUUUUGAAACUUACUUUGGUUUCAGCAGCACAGGGGUUAAGUUUCCUUCCAAGUUGCCCUAGGCUCUUCUCAGGAGCUGGGAAAGCAGCUCUCCCAAUUCCCAAGUAAGUUAUUUAAGACAGCAUAAGGCAGAGCUCAAAUUCUGUGGAGAACUUAUCACCACUCAAACCAAAAGGAAAUCUAAAGAAGGCUGCCAAAAUGCUUCUCUGCUGCCCUCCCCCACCAAGACAGAUAUAAAAAUGGAAGAGUUACAAAGCAAACUACAGUGUAUGGAAUGUGUGUGUGUGCAUAUAUAUAUACAUUUUUUUUUUAUUUUUAAACCCACCACUUUGUCUUAUUUGCAUGAGCACAAAUCGCUUUCAACUUAAUGCCAGGGAAAAAGGCAACAUUCCCUGUGAUGACUUGCUGAAAAGCUCACUGUAUUUGUUUGAUAAUGGAUUUUAGUUCAUUGUCAUGUACUUCACUCUUCAUCAGCAGGAGCACUUCAGGGUAAAGAAACAGGCUUUUACCACGCUGGAACAAAAGCUAUAUAAGAAAAAAAAAUCCUGAGCAGAUGGAAUAUUAUUUGCAUUUGCACAAAUAGUGGUUUUUAGCACAAUUCAUAUUACUCCAUUGUGAGCUAAAGUAAGCCAGAUGUGUCUACAGCAUGCUGCAGAUGCGGAAUCGGCUUUUUGUUUGUCAGACUCAGAGGUCCCAACCUUAUGAUAUCUUUGUACUUGUAUAUCCAUUAGUUUUAUUUCAGUUACUUAUCAGGAGGGAAAAGAAGAAAAUGUCACUAGUAUUUAAGAGGACCGUGGCAGAGAGAGCCAAAUUAACUAUAUUUUAUUUUCAUGAGUGAGGAUCAAAUAGCUUUCAGUUAUCUGAAUGUCCAUCUAGAGGUCUAGCUGAUGAUGUAAAAUUAAAAAGCAGAAUAUACAUUGUGUGAUAAAAUUUAGUUCUCUAUGAUUACAUUAAACAAUCCUUGACAUACAUUUUUUCUUAAGUAUCUCUCAAGCAACAAAUUAUUUGACAUGAUUACAAUAGAAUUUUAGGAGUUCUGGUUGUGGCUCAGUGGUAAUGAACUCGACUAGUUUCCAUGUGGUUUGAUCCCUGGCCUUGCUCAGUGGGUUAAGUAUCCAGCACUGCCUUGAGCUGUGGUGUAGACUGCAGAUGCGACUGGAAUCUGGUGUUGCUGUGGCUAUGGCGUAGGCUGGCAGCUGUAGCUCCAUUUCGACCCUUAGCCCUGGGAACUUCCAUAUGCUGCAGAUACAAUCU